AUAUCCCUCUCUUCAUCCUUCUGUCCUCCAUCCCCAUCAUUCCUCUAUCCUCCCUCCCCAUCAUCCUUCUAUCCUUCCUCCCCAUUGUUCCUCUAUCCUCCCUCCCCAUCAUCCCUCUAUCCUUCCUCCCCAUCGUUCCUCUCUUCAUCCCUCUAUCCUCCCUCCCCAUCAUUCCUCUCUUCAUCCCCCUGUCCUCCCUCCCAUCAUUCCUCUAUUCAACCCUCUGUCCUCCCUCCCCAUCAUUCCUCUCUUCAACCCUCUGUGCUCCCUCCCAUCAUUCCUCUCUUCAACCCUGUCCUCCCUCCCCAUCAUUCCUCUCUUCAUCCCUCUGUCCUCCCUCCCCAUCAUCCCUCUAUCCUCCCUCCCCAUCAUUCCUCUCUUCAUCCCUCUAUCCUCCCUCCCCAUCAUUCCUCUCUUCAAACCCUGUCCUCCCUCCCCAUCAUUCCUCUCUUCAUCCCUCUGUCCUCCCUCCCCAUCAUCCCUCUAUCCUCCCUCCCCAUCAUUCCUCUCUUCAUCCCUCUAUCCUCCCUCCCCAUCAUUCCUCUCUUCAGCCCUCUGUCCUCCCUCCCCAUCAUUCCUCUCUUCAUCCCUCUAUCCUCCCUCCCCAUCAUCCCUCUAUCCUCUCUCCCCAUCAUUCCUCUCUUCAACCCUCUGUCCUCCCUCCCAAUCAUUCCUCUCUUCAUCCCUCUGUCCUCUCUCCCCAUCAUUCCUCUCUUCCUCCCUCCCCAUCAUCCCUCUGUCCUCCCUCCCCAUCAUUCCUCCCUCCCCAUCAUUCCUCCCUCCCCAUCAUCCCUCUGUCCUCCCUCCCCAUCAUCCCUCUGUCCUCCCUCCCCAUCAUCCCUCUGUCCUCCCUCCCCAUCAUUCCUCUCUUCCUCCCUCUGUCCUCCCGCCCCAUCAUUCCUCUCUUCCUCCCUCUGUCCUCCCGCCCCAUCAUUCCUCUCUUCCUCCCUCUGUCCUCCCGCCCCAUCAUUCCUCUCUUCCUCCCUCUGUCCUCCCGCCCCCAUCAUUCCUCUCUUCCUCCCUCUGUCCUCCCGCCCCAUCAUUCCUCUCUUCCUCUAUCCUCCCUCUGUCCUCCCUCCCCUUCCUCCCUCUGUCCUCCCUCUGUCCUCCCUCCCCUUCCUCCCUCUGUCCUCCCUCCCCUUCCUCCCUCUAUCCUCCCUCUAUCCUCCCUCUAUCCUCCCUCCCCUUCCUCCCUCUAUCCUUCCUCCCUCUAUCUUCCCUCUAUCCUUCCUCCCUCUAUCCUCCCUCUAUCCUCCCUCUAUCCUCCCUCCCUCUAUCCUCCCUCUGUCCUCCCUCCCUCUUUCCUCCCUCCCUCUAUCCUCCCUCCCUCUAUCCUCCCUCCCUCUAUCCUCCCUCUAUCCUCCCUCCCUCUAUCCUCCCCUUCCUCCCUCUAUCCUCCCUCCCUCUAUCCUCCCUCUAUCCUCCCUCUAUCCCCCUCUAUCCUCCCUCUAUCCUCCUCUGUCCCUCUAUCCUCCCUCUAUCCUCCCUCUAUCCUCCCUCUGUCCUCCCUCUAUCCUCCCUCUAUCCUCCCUCUAUCUCCCUCUGUCCUCCCUCCCUUCCUCCCUCUAUCCUCCCUCUGUCCUCCCUCCCCUUCCUCCCUCUAUCCUCCCUCUGUCCUCCCUCCCCUUCCUCCCUCUAUCCUCCCUCUGUCCUCCCUCCCCUUCCUCCCUCUAUCCUCCCUCUGUCCUCCCUCCCCUUCCUCCCUCUAUCCUCCCUCUGUCCUCCCUCCCCUUCCUCCCUCUAUCCUCCCUCUGUCCUCCCUCCCCUUCCUCCCUCUAUCCUCCCUCCCUCUAUCCUCCCUCCCUCUAUCCUCCCUCUAUCCUCCCCAUCCUAAUCAUGAUCAGUUAUAGAGGGGAAACAUGCUCCUUUUAUUACUGUAACUAA
ensembl:lncRNA